CAAAUUUGAAAGCUGGCCCCUUCGGGGUCCGCGUUGUAAUUUGCAGAGGAUGCUUCGGGUGCAGCCCCCGUCUAAGUGCCCUGGAACGGGCCGUCAUAGAGGGUGAGAAUCCCGUCUGGGACGGGGUGUCUGCGUCCGUGUGAAGCUCCUUCGACGAGUCGAGUUGUUUGGGAAUGCAGCUCUAAAUGGGUGGUAAAUUUCAUCUAAAGCUAAAUACUGGCCGGAGACCGAUAGCGCACAAGUAGAGUGAUCGAAAGAUGAAAAGCACUUUGAAAAGAGAGUUAAACAGCACGUGAAAUUGUUGAAAGGGAAGCGUUUGCGACCAGACUCGCCCGCGGGGUUCAGCCGGCAUUCGUGCCGGUGUACUUCCCCGUGGGCGGGCCAGCGUCGGUUUGGGCGGCCGGUCAAAGGCCCUCGGAAUGUAUCACCUCUCGGGGUGUCUUAUAGCCGAGGGUGCAAUGCGGCCUGCCUGGACCGAGGAACGCGCUUCGGCUCGGACGCUGGCGUAAUGGUCGUAAAUGACCCGUCUUGAAACACGGACCAAGGAGUCUAACAUCUACGCGAGUGUUCGGGUGUCAAACCCGUACGCGCAGUGAAAGCGAACGGAGGUGGGAGCCCCCUCGCGGGGCGCACCAUCGACCGAUCCUGAUGUCUUCGGAUGGAUUUGAGUACGAGCGUAGCUGUGGGGACCCGAAAGAUGGUGAACUAUGCCUGAAUAGGGCGAAGCCAGAGGAAACUCUGGUGGAGGCUCGCAGCGGUUCUGACGUGCAAAUCGAUCGUCAAAUUUGGG
rnacentral:rRNA from 1 species